CACGUAGGCGGAUUGUUAAGUCGGGGGUGAAAUCCUGAGGCUCAACCUCAGAACUGCCUUCGAUACUGGCGAUCUUGAGUCCGGAAGAGGUUGGUGGAACAGCUAGUGUAGAGGUGAAAUUCGUAGAUAUUAGCUAGAACACCAGUGGCGAAGGCGGCCAACUGGUCCGGAACUGACGCUGAGGUGCGAAAGCGUGGGGAGCAAACA
rnacentral:rRNA from 1 species